UUGUAAUUAAUUUAUGUUAGCAAAUAUUCUUUAAUUCUCAUGAUUUCAGUUAUUAGUUAAUCCAAGAAAAUUUUUUUGUCUUGUAAGGGAAUUUUUAAAAACUUUUAAAUUAUAACAAUUUUUUGUUGUGCAGUUUACCAUAUGGUAGAAAUAUGAAAUAUUUUGAUAAUUAAGAAUUUGGUAAAGGAGUCACAAGUUUGAAGUUUGACAUAUAUACCUGUAUAAGGUAUUUCUUCUGCCUUUUUAGCAUGCCUUCGUGGUGUAGUGGUCAGCACACUCGGCGCGUAUCAAGAAGACCAUGGCUUGAGUCCCGGCAAAGGCAUGGCUCAUUUUUCAUCUCUCCUGCUUUCAAAAAAUACCUAAUGUCUCUACAGUGACGCCUUGGUGGAUGAUGAUUGUUCGGAUUUGAUGAUUGACUCCCAUAAUUCCCAGUCACCUUUUAAAAGGGGAAGUAUAUAAGGUGUUUCUCCUGCCUUCUUAGCAUGCCUUUGUGAUGUAAUGGUCAGCACACUCUGCGCGUAUUCGAGAUGUCCAAGGCUCGAGUCCCGGCGAGGGCAUUGCUCAUUUUUCACGUCUCCUGCUUCGAAAUAACCUAAUGUCUCUACAGCUUUUUUUAUAUGCAUAAAAUUUCUUUCAUUUAUAUUUUAGGGACUUCUUUUGAGUAUUAAAAGACAAAGUUUGAACUAAGAAACUUAUUAUUAUCUUUAGUUUAAAUUUUUCUAAUAUUUAAUAAUUUUUUGUGUUAAUAAUAAAUUAUAAAUAUUUAUUUUUUUCAUUUUCCUUUUUAGUUUUAAGAUAUUGAUUCAAGUUUAUUUUUCUGAGCCCAGAAGAUUUUUCAUGCUCUUAAGCAUUUCAGAAAACUUUCUGUUCUCUCAAAAAACAUUGUAACAUAGAAAAAUGUGUAAAAACCAUCCUUUAUCAUGUAAAAUCCUCUCUGAUGCAUUAGACUAGUGGAUAAUGCAUUUAUUAAUAAUCUGUGAUCAUAAAGAGAAAAAUAUUGAUUUUGUUCCUUUUUUUAUCUUCUCAAAAAGGAUUUUCUUGUUUUCAAUGUGGCUUAGUGCUUCUUAUUUUUAUUACCCCUUGGACAUACAAUGAUAUCUGGAAUGUGUCAUUAAUAAUUAGAAAUUAGUGUGAAAAUAGAUAUUGAGUCCCGCCAGACGUUAUGAAAUUGCGGUCACUUCAAAACAAGUUUAGACUAUAAAGUGCAUAUUGAUAUGCUUGUGUGUUUCUGUUUUUUGGAGUGCAGAGUUAUUUUCUCUUUAUAAUUUUAAGCACAUCAACUUGGAAUUUUAUUUGUAUGCCAAGGAGUUAGUAUGUAUCUAGGCAAUUAACUACGUUUGUGUUGGUUGAAAAUGUCUUUUUUUUGCUCAAACUCAGUUUUUAGUGCAGUUGACCUGCUAAAUUUAUCUUUUUUUUAUUUCUUAAUUGCAGUGUAUUUCAUUUCUUAUGAUUAAAUGCUACUUAUCUCGAAUACGAGGUAUCAACAAAAAUCUAUCUGAAUGUCCUAUCUUGCAGAAACUCAUGAUUGUAAUAAGUUUGCUUGCAUUUUGCUUACUAGGCACAUUAUUGAGGAAUGAGGUGGAAAUUCGGUAUUUAUUUGGAGGUGCAAAUGGAGGGAAAAUGUUCAACAAAUUUAUAGAGUGGAAACAAAUUAUUAACAAUAUUAAUUAUUGAAAAUUUUGUUGUCAUAUUUAAAUGUUUGAGGUUCAAAGUGUACUAAAUUAAAAUUGUUAAAUUUAUUUUUCAUUCUUUAUCUGAACAAGUUCUGAAAUGAAUUUUGACAUAUAAAUUAUUUUAAAAUAUUAAAUAAUAGUUUAAUUGAUGUACUACUGCAUUCUAGUCAAUGAAAAUGCUAAAUUGGGUAAAGAAAUUAUAUUAUCCUUUGUAAAUAUUUCUGUGAAUAAACAUUUUAAUGUAAUUUUAUGUGUAAUGAGUAAACAAUAAAUGUGACUGUAAUUU